rnacentral:rRNA from 1 species
GGGCCCGCACAAGCGGUGGAGCAUGUGGUUUAAUUCGAUGAUACGCGAGGAACCUUACCAGGGUUUAAAUGCAGAACGACAGGGGUGGAAACACCCCCUUCUUCGGACGGACUGCAAGGUGCUGCAUGGUUGUCGUCAGCUCGUGCUGUGAAGUGUCGGGUUAAGUCCCAUAACGAGCGCAACCCCCAUUUCUAGUUGCCAGCGGUUCGGCCGGGGACUCUAGAGAAACUGCCAGCGUAAGCUGUGAGGAAGGUGGGGGAUGACGUCAAAUCAUCACGGCCCUUACGUCCUGGGCCACACACGUGCUACAAUGGUGGAGACAGAGAGUUGCCAACCCGCGAGGGUGAG